GGAAUAUAAAAAACUGACUCUUAACUUUUAACUAAAAAAACUAAGAAUCGGCUCGGUUCUUAGCUUUUUUUAGUUAAAAGUUAAGAGACUAUUUUUUAUAUUCC
rfam:Brassica rapa chromosome A6, whole genome shotgun sequence.